AUGGGGACAACAUUCCGAAAGGAAUGCUAAUACCGAAUGGAAGCGGAGGAGAAGGGCAUCUCUCCUCCGUGAAAGAUGGCCUCUAGUUUAUAAGCUAUCACCUGUCGAUGGGUCUGCGUCUGAUUAGCUAGUUGGUGAGGUAACGGCUCACCAAGGCGACGAUCAGUAGCCGGUCUGAGAGGAUGAACGGCCACAUUGGGACUGAGACACGGCCCAG
rnacentral:rRNA from 1 species